rnacentral:lncRNA from 1 species
AAAUUCUGCGGAGCCCAGUGCUGAGCCAUCAUCUGGGCAAACUGGGGAGAGAUGGGCAGCGGGUGCUGAGGCUGAGUUGGCAGCCAGUCCUCAAGGAGCAGAGGAAUGUCACCUACAAGCUGGACGUCCACAUGUUGGCGUGUGGCUGUGCAGAGUCAGAUGAGGAGGACUCUGUGGAGCUGGGCUGGGAGGAGACAGAGUACAACCUCACCCUCUCCGGGGCGGAAUACGAAAUCCUGCUGACCGCGGCCAACGCCGCGGGGCCGGGGCCGGCGCGGCAGCUCCGUGUGCCGCCAGAGCAGCGAGCGGGUACCUGCCCCUGUAGAAAUGCUGAGCUCCCCUGGCAGCUCUCAGGGCGUUAUUUCUUCCAUCCACCCCGAUUUUCCCCUGUUUCAUCCCAGAUCUCAGCUUCAAAGAGAUCAGCGUGGCAGGAGGCGCCGUGACUGCGCAGUGGGAAGCGCCGGUCCCUGGCGAUGCUUUCUGCUUCGAGCAGCAGACGCUGCCAGGGCCUCCGAAACAGGGAGUCUGCGUCCGGCAGGAAUUCCCUGCCAACAGCAGCCACGUGCAGAGCGGCAAGCCAGCCCCCCAAGCCCCCCGCUGUCCCCCCAGCUGGGGGAAGAGGGUCUAAGCAUCACCCCAAUUCCUCCCCAGGAGCGCUGGGAGCGCCGGGCUGUCACCGCCUGGCCGUGCACGGCCGGGACGAGGAGCGCGGCUGGGCCACCUUCGCCCUGUGGCACCGCUACCGCAGCAACGAUUCGCUGGACGUGCCCAUCAGCAUCAGCAGCGCAGAUGUCGCGGCUGUGCUGCAGUGGACACCGUCCCCACGCGCCGCCUGUCCCGGCGCGCUGGCCAAGUACCUCAUCUGCCACUCGGCCAAGGGGGACAACGAGACCUGUGAGUGGGACCCCCAUCCCCGUGGGGCAGGAGGAGGGUGCUGCCCCCAGGCAGCCGCCAGACUGCUCCACAUUCGGUUUUGUUUGCCCAGACAGUGAAGUGAACGCCACGGCAUCAAACUACACCCUUCAAAACCUCCAGCCUGGCACAGCCUACAGGGUGAGUGUGCGGGAGGUGACAGAGGACAGCGAGGGGACCUGCAGAGUUUGGUGGCACUUCCAGACCAAGGCACUGGGUCCCCAGGGAGCAGUGUGGACAGGCAAUCUGAAGUACCUGAGCAUCUCGCUGGGUCUCCCCGCCGCAGCUGCCAUCUACCACCUGACCAAAAAGAGGGUUGGCCGCCUCCUCUUCCCACCCGUUCCCCAGCCCGUGGGCACCAAAGCCAUCCAGUUCUCGGCCGGCGAGAUGAGCCAGGUGAGGUGUAAGGUGCAGGAGGGGGCAGAUCCCGCAGCCCAAAUCGCCCAUGGCACUGCCCUGGCACGGGAUGUCCCACCCCAAAUCCACCCAACCCUUAGGGCCAGCCCCGCAGAGGCCUCCUGGAACCCUCGGAGAGGUUCAAUCCAGCCGAGCUGCUGCUGCUGACGGAGCCGAAUCCCAGCGAGGAGACGACAGACACGGGCACUCAGACUGUGGUGCCGCCGCCCGACGUGGCACAGCCCGGCCCCGCGCUGGAACAGCCGGCGGCAGUGGCGGUGACCCCGCCGGGCUGUGCGGACGAGCUGCCCUUCGCCUACCGCAGGCAGGACAUGCUGAGCCCGCUGGGAUCUCCAUCCUCCGGCAGCACCAGCUGCAGCGGGCACCCACCCGCAGAGGAGGAGGAGGAGGAGGAGGAAGAGAAGGAGGAGGAGGAGGAGGAGGAGGAAGAGAAGGAGGAGGAGGGAAGGCAAGGGCUGCACCAGCCGCUGAUCCCCAUUGCCCUGCUCAUCUCCGACAAACCCAUCAUCAUCAGGGAUGGGGAAGGAUGGGAUCCCUCGCCGCAGAAGUCGGUGCCGUAGCCAUCAGCAGGCUGGAGCAGCGGGGCUGGACGGCAGGAAGGGCGCGGGGGUGUCCCACGGAAUGCGGAUUGGCUGCGUGGGAUGCUGAGUGCCCAGCCCGUGGGUGGCACCGGCACUUCCAGGGGGUUUUCUGGUUUCCAGGACACAGAAGGCGAUGCCUCUGAAUGCAGCACUGCACCGGGACAAGUUUUGGCCACGCAAUUUGCAGCCUCAACCUUUCACCGGCGAUAAAACCCGAGCGAAAGUGGCUGCAGAGUCCGGCCAGGACCGAGGGUAUUUCCAUGCCUGGGAAGAGAGGCAGAGCUCCAUCUCAGCCGGCUGCUACCUCUGGAACCACUAUCCUGGUGGAGAUGCAAAAAGCCCCAACACCAAACACCAACUACCUGCAAAAAAAAAAAAAAAAAAAAAAAAAAAAAAAGGGGGGGGGGGGGGGGGGGGGGGAAAAAAAAAAAAAAAAAAAAAAAAAUAAAACCAGGUUUAAAAUUUUAAAUAACUGCACAAAGCAGCAGGGCCGAGAUGGUUUUUCUUCGCCUGACCCGGGCAGAUUACAGCGAGCAUUUAGAGCCGAGGUUCAACCCACGGCACUGUGGAGGACGCAGGCAGGCAGCCGGGACGGGGGUGAUCCAUGGGGCCCCCCAGCCCCUUCCCGUGGGGACAGGGGGGGGGGGGGGGGGGGGGGGGGUGAUCCAUGGGGCCCCCCCAGCCCCUUCCCGUGGGGACACGCCGCCGCCUCGGGCCUUACCUGGGACAGCACUGGAGAUGAAAAGCAAUUUGUGGUUUUGUCUGCCUGGCGCGGCGGUGUUUACUUGCUGAGAGAGCAAAAAAAAAAAAAAAAAAAAGGGGGGGGGGGGGGGGGGGGGGGGGGGGGGGGGGGGGGGGGGGGGGGGGGGGGGGGGGGGGGGGGGGGGGGGGGGGGGGGGGGGGGGGGGGGG